AGAGGCUGCAGGUAACAGAGUUGAACAAGGCAGAUGUGAUUCCUACCCCCACGGAGUUUAUUCUGAUGGAAGGAGACAGGAAGUCAACUAGUAAAGUCAUAAGAUAGUUUCAGACAGUGAGAAGUGGUUUAAAAGGAAGGUAACGUGCGAGGAAUGUGGAACCACUUUAGAUCGGAUAACCAGGGAAUAUCCCUCUGAGGAGGUGACGUGUCAGAUGAAACUUGAAGGACGUAGAGUCAGCCAUGGGAAGAUCUGAGGGAAGAGAACGUCAGGCAGCGGGAACAACAAGAGCAAAGGCCCUGCGGUGGAACACAGCUGCUGUCUCAAGAAAAAGAGAACAUUGAACGUCAUGAUGGAUUGUUAUAAAAGAGAGAGAGAGAGAAAGGGCUGAAGCACAGUGAAGGGAGAGGUCAUAGGCAGAGGCAGGGAUCACUCAGGAUUUUAUUCUGAGUGUGUUUUGUUCUGGGAGGCCAUUUGAGGGUUUCAAGCAGUGAAGUGAAGUGAUCUGAUUUCUGUGCUGGGAGACCUCCUGUGGCUUUGGGUUCCUGGUGCAGAUUGGACUCUGUUGGUGAAGGGCCAAGCAUGAAUGCUGAGCUCUGGGGAGGAUCUUAAGGCUGCAUCCAGAUGAGAGGUGAUGGGUUGGCUCCAGGCGGUGGAAGUGAAGAGGAGUGGACUUCAGUGGAGAUUGUAGUCUGCCACCUGGAUUCUCCUUCAGGACAGAGGCUCCAGGAUUCGCCUUCAGCCAAGGAGAAUCGCCUUGCCUAAGACUGCCUCCUCCAUAGGGGCAGGCCACCUCCAACGUCGGGUUGACAUGGGGGUCUAAGGACCCCAUUUCAUGGUCCUGAUGUAGGCAACUCAGAAGGGCUGUUCCAGCCUCUGAGCUCUGGUGAGGCCUCUGGUGUGCCUGCAUUCCAGCCCCACAUCACUGCCCCCCACACCACUCUACCCCCUUCACAGGUGCUGUGCGUGAGAGCACUCCCCAGUAAACCACCUGCGUGCCCAGCUCUCUGAGUCUGUUUCCCAGGGAACCCAAUCAAAGACGCUGAUCGAUCAGAAGAGCGGUACAAGUAGAACACACCACUCAGUGGCAAGUCCUUUCUCCACAGAUGAUGACUCAGGGAAGGUCCCAGAGCCUCUGGCAGGUCACAGAACCUCUGGCAGAGCUGAGGUGACCCCAAGCUCUCCUCUUCACAGCUCUGCUCCUCUUCCACCUGCAAACCAAGAGUCACAAUGGAAGGGCCCAAGGUCUGCAAAAACCAAAAGUGUGUCAGCAGGACGGGACACUGAAGAAGUGCCACUCUUAGUUGUGGGAGUCUUUGUGGCUUUGGUUGCAAUUACGUGGGAGUGUGCUUUUUAGUCUGACACUGUGCUGCUCUUAUAAUUGGAGGAUCAGGUCAUUGGCAUUCAAAUCAGUCCCUCCCGAGAGACACUGCCAGUCUAGUUUCUGGCACUGUGCUGUGUGUACCUGGUUUCCAUCUAAUGCACUGAAUAAGAAAGAUAUUAAAUCCCUGCCUUCAUGGGACCAACAUUCUGGGGAAGAGAGGUGGAUAGACAAUAAACAAGUCAACAAGUAAGUGAGCUCCCGACAUUGCUGAGUUAUGAAGGGAAUAAACAGGAUGAUAGGGUUGAGAGUGACCAGGGUGAAGGGUGAGGUCCUUCAAUUAGAUGAUCAGGGAAGUGAUCUCUGGAAAGGUGAUGGUUGAGCUGGGCUUUAAAAGAAGAGAAAGAGGCAGUUAUAGGAAGAGCAGAAGGAAGAGAGUUACAGACAGAAGAAACAGCAAGUGCAAAGGCCCCUAGGCAGGAAAGAACUUGGCUUGCUGGAGAACAUGAAAGGAAGCCAAUGUGGCUGAAUAGGAAGGGAGGAGGGAAGGCUGGAGAAGAAGAUGGGGCCUUGUAGGCCAAUGUGAGGACUUGGGAGUCUUUGGAAAGGCAGCCAGAGGCCACUGGAAGGUUUCCAGCAG
rnacentral:lncRNA from 10 species